rnacentral:rRNA from 1 species
GAUGAACGCUGGCGGCGUGCCUAAUACAUGCAAGUCGAGCGAACAGACGAGGAGCUUGCUCCUCUGACGUUAGCGGCGGACGGGUGAGUAACACGUGGAUAACCUACCUAUAAGACUGGGAUAACUUCGGGAAACCGGAGCUAAUACCGGAUAAUAUAUUGAACCGCAUGGUUCAAUAGUGAAAGACGGUUUUGCUGUCACUUAUAGAUGGAUCCGCGCCGCAUUAGCUAGUUGGUAAGGUAACGGCUUACCAAGGCAACGAUGCGUAGCCGACCUGAGAGGGUGAUCGGCCACACUGGAACUGAGACACGGUCCAGACUCCUACGGGAGGCAGCAGUAGGGACUCUUCCGCAAUGGGCGAAAGCCUGACGGAGCAACGCCGCGUGAGUGAUGAAGGUCUUCGGAUCGGAAAACUCUGUUAUUAGGGAAGAACAAAUGUGUAAGUAACUAUGCACGUCUUGACGGUACCUAAUCAGAAAGCCACGGCUAACUACGUG